rnacentral:rRNA from 1 species
UACGGUAGGGGGCAAGCGUUGUCCGGAUUUAUUGGGCGUAAAAGAGCGUGUAGGCGGCUUGGUAGGUCCGCUGUGAAAACCUCGAGGCUCAACCUCGAGAUGUCGGCGGAAACCACUUGGCGUAGAGUCCGGAAGAGGAGAGUGGGAAUUCCUGGAUGUAGCGGUGAAAUGCGCAGAUAUCAGGAAGAACACCUAUGGCGAAGGCAGCUCUCUGGGAGCG